AUGAAUACGAGGCCUGUAGUGCUGGUCUGCCUCCUGAUCGUGCUCAUCAUCACGUCGCAGUUCGAGUGGAAGCAGCAGAUCGAGGACGCAGCUGACGCGGACCCUGUCACCGCGCGCCGGCGGCAGCAAGUCCUUGCGAAGGAGGACGCCGUCAAGGAGAAGAUACUCUUGUCUCAAGAGAAAAACAUUCAACAGCUUAAUGAGCUUAUCGAGAGCCUUCAACGGCAGCUGCUGCACUGCCGUGGUAGCAACAAGACCAUUCAUACCACUACAAUUGCUGCUACCGAAGCAAGUGAGGUGGAUGGGCAUGAAAUCAUUGAUGAUUGA
rnacentral:rRNA from 1 species